GUCAGGACGAACGCUGGCGGCGUGCUUAACACAUGCAAGUCGAACGGAAAGGCCCAGCUUGCUGGGUGCUCGAGUGGCGAACGGGUGAGUAACACGUGGGUGAUCUGCCCCUGACUUUGGGAUAAGCCUGGGAAACUGGGUCUAAUACCGGAUAUGACCUUCUCUCGCAUGGGAGUUGGUGGAAAGCCUUGUGCGGUUGGGGAUGGGCCCGCGGCCUAUCAGCUUGUUGGUGGGGUAAUGGCCUACCAAGGCGACGACGGGUAGCCGACCUGAGAGGGUGAUCGGCCACACUGGGACUGAGACACGGCCCAGACUCCUACGGGAGGCAGCAGUGGGGAAUAUUGCACAAUGGGCGCAAGCCUGAUGCAGCGACGCCGCGUGAGGGAUGACGGCCUUCGGGUUGUAAACCUCUUUCACCAGGGACGAAGCGCAAGUGACGGUACCUGGAGAAGAAGCACCGGCCAACUACGUGCCAGCAGCCGCGGUAAUACGUAGGGUGCGAGCGUUGUCCGGAAUUACUGGGCGUAAAGAGCUCGUAGGCGGUUUGUCGCGUCGUCUGUGAAAUUCUGCAGCUUAACUGCAGGCGUGCAGGCGAUACGGGCAGACUUGAGUACUACAGGGGAGACUGGAAUUCCUGGUGUAGCGGUGAAAUGCGCAGAUAUCAGGAGGAACACCGGUGGCGAAGGCGGGUCUCUGGGUAGUAACUGACGCUGAGA
rnacentral:rRNA from 1 species